UAUAAGCAAAAGCUUACUACUUAGCUGCCUCUCUGGGAAGUUCAUAAAUCUAGUUAGUAGGGAACAGGAGGUUAAUCGAGUUAUUAGCCUUAAGUGGUUUGGCAUCAAAGAAGGCAUGCCAAUGCUUGUGGGGGAAAUUAUCCCUACUCUAGUUAGCUGUUUGUAAAAAUCAACAUACCAGUCCUUGUCUCUUCUGCUUCUCAGUUUUUACAUGUGAUCCAGGAGCUCAGUAGCUCCUGAUGUUCCCUUUCCAUCCAUUCUAGUGGACAGUAUAAACUUAGAGUGAAUCAUUAAUUAAAACUCACCCAUGUGUUUUGGGGUUUUUUUUGUUUUCUUUUUUUUUAUCUUUCUAAAUUACAUGACUUCAUUGUAUAAAAAUAUGUUGUCUUCCUUUAAUUUCACUUUUACUUUUUUGAGCUUGAGUAGAAAUCCAGACAGCUUCUUUCAUGAUUCCUAUGAACAAUUUGAAGCCAUGUGUAUUGAUGAUGUUAUCAGCCAAUUUUAUGUUUUUCCAAAGGCUGCUAAGAACCUAGCUAGCAGAGCGGUCCUGUAACCAUGGCUGCCCUUCCAUGCAUACCUAUGCACAUGCUUGAAAGAGAAAAAUAGCACUUCUCAGCUGAUAUUACAGCAAUAACUCCUGACACCUCACUCCACUCACUGAGAAGAAGAUAAAAGGCAAUAUAUAUUUCUAUUAUGACUUUCUAUAGCUCAAGCAUAGAUCUGUUUACUGUUCAUAAAAGGAUAGUUCUGUUUGCACAGGUCUUGGCAGACCUGGUUCAUUUCUGUCAGAGUAUAUUCUGCUAACUCUGUGGGAAACAGAAGAGCAAAUGUUUUUUUUUUUUCUCCAUAGGAAUGGUUGAUUCUGCUUGUCUGUUUUAGAACCAAAUUUUCACUGACCACAAGUGGAUUUAAUGCUACACAGGGAUUUGGGGAAUUGCCUCAGUUUGUGGUAAUUUUCUGUCUUUGGUUGUUCCUUCUCACAGCAAAUAUAUAAAUGGAGGUGCAGUGGGGGCAGAUUGUUUGAGUUUCUAAACUCUUUCUACAACCCAAGAGAUCCAAGGGCUUCUGGACAGGGAUGGAUUUCAAGGUGCAUAAACCUUAGCACUGAUUUAUCUCUAAGCCUGAGUUGCCUCUUGGAGCAAGUAAGCACCAGCGAGAGCCCUCUCCAAUAGUUUUCCUCUUGUGAGCUGCUUUUCUUUCAGAGGCUGGUGAAAAUCCGAUUACAUCGUUACAUGCUUCUCUGUUUUCUUUCUGCCAGGCUAUAAAGAUGGGAUAUAAAUCUGUUGACAGUCCUUGUUUUCACGGGUACAUAAAUACAUACUCUUGGAUGAAAGCCAGGAGCUUAGCAGAAUUGGUUAGACCCGGGCUGAAAUAUACAGAGACCCCAGGAUUAUGUAAAGAGAAACUUGAGGAGACAUAUUGUGAAUAUUGGGGAAAGAUUUUAGGUACUUUUGUUCUUGCUAAUUAGCCACAAGAACGUUGCCCCGUGCUUUAUGAAAAUAUAAAAACUUCAUAGUCAAGCCAAUUCUGGCCUAGGUAUCAUCUACAGAUUGCAUCAAACCUACCCAAUAAUUUAGGACAAGUCUUAGAUAGUAGGUAGCUUCGAAUAUAUGCAAUGUAUGACCCAGCCAAUUUUCUUGGAUAAAGAGGACUCGUGCAGCUUUGAUCUCUGAGAAGUACUUC
rnacentral:lncRNA from 1 species